rnacentral:rRNA from 1 species
GAUGAACGCUGGCGGCGUGCUUAACACAUGCAAGUCGAGCGAGUGAGUUCUUCGGAACGAUCUAGCGGCGGACGGGUGAGUAACACGUUGGCAACCUGCCUCAUAGAGGGGAAUAGCAUCCCGAAAGGGAGAUUAAUACCGCAUAAAAUUAUCGAGUGGCAUCACAUGAUAAUCAAAGGAGUAAUCCGCUAUGAGAUGGGCCCGCGGCGCAUUAGCUAGUUGGUGAGGUAACGGCUCACCAAGGCGACGAUGCGUAGCCGACCUGAGAGGGUGAUCGGCCACAUUGGGACUGAGACACGGCCCAGACUCCUACGGGAGGCAGCAGUGGGGAAUAUUGCACAAUGGGGGAAACCCUGAUGCAGCAACGCCGCGUGAGUGAUGAAGGUCUUCGGAUUGUAAAGCUCUGUCUUUGGGGACGAUAAUGACGGUACCCAAGGAGGAAGCCACGGCUAACUACGUGCCAGCAGCCGCUGUAA